rnacentral:rRNA from 1 species
CCUACGGGAGGCAGCAGUGGGGAAUAUUGGACAAUGGGCGAAAGCCUGAUCCAGCAAUGCCGCGUGAGUGAUGAAGGCCUUAGGGUUGUAAAGCUCUUUUACCAGGGAUGAUAAUGACAGUACCUGGAGAAUAAGCUCCGGCUAACUCCGUGCCAGCAGCCGCGGUAAUACGGAGGGAGCUAGCGUUGUUCGGAAUUACUGGGCGUAAAGAGUACGUAGGCGGUUAUUCAAGUCAGAGGUGAAAGCCCGGGGCUCAACCCCGGAACUGCCUUUGAAACUAGAUAGCUAGAAUCUUGGAGAGGUCAGUGGAAUUCCGAGUGUAGAGGUGAAAUUCGUAGAUAUUCGGAAGAACACCAGUGGCGAAGGCGACUGACUGGACAAGUAUUGACGCUGAGGUACGAAAGCGUGGGGAGCAAACAGGAUUAGAUACCCUGGUAGUCCACGCCGUAAACGAUGAUAACUAGUUGUUCGGGCACUUGGUGCCUGAGUGACGCAGCUACGCAUUAAGUUAUUCCGUCCGUCGGGGUAGGUACGGUCGCGAAGAAUUAAACUAACAAGGAAGUUAGACGGCGUGAGACGUGCCGACGGACGACGACGAGGGAGGUAGG